rnacentral:rRNA from 1 species
UACGUAGGGUGCGAGCGUUGUCCGGAAUUAUUGGGCGUAAAGAGCUUGUAGGCGGUUUGUCGCGUCUGCCGUGAAAAUUCGAGGCUCAACCUCGAACUUGCGGUGGGUACGGGCAGACUAGAGUGUGGUAGGGGAGACUGGAAUUCCUGGUGUAGCGGUGAAAUGCGUAGAUAUCAGGAGGAACACCGAUGGCGAAGGCAGGUCUCUGGGCCACUACUGACGCUGAGGGAUGAAAGCUGGGGGAGCAAACCGG